GGGGGCGACCUGGUUUCGACGGGGGUUGCGAAGCAGACGAGGGCAUACCGGGAUUUCAGUCACCCCGUAAAACACUGAAUUUAUAUAGUCGCAAACGACGAAACUUACGCAGUAGCCGCUUAAUAACCGGCUUAGCGCACUGCAACGGCUCGCUGAUGGGCCGUGGAGGCAACUCCCGCAGUGUCAUUUACAUCAGCUAGUUCCGUAUCGGGUCACUUGAUCCGGAAUGAAACUCUAGGUGACUCGCCUCUCCCAAGCCUGCCCGUCGGCGUGGUCGGGGUUAAAUUCAAGUAGACAAGGCUAAGUAUGUAGAACUCCCUGUAGAGGACUUUCGGACGCGGGUUCGAUUCCCGCCGCCUCCACCA
rnacentral:tmRNA from 1 species